rnacentral:ncRNA from 1 species
GAGAGCCGGGUGCGGUGCAAGCCGCACGCCCGGUUCGGGAGGCGGCCCGGGGAAACGGAACAGACGGCAACACUGUCACCGCGCCCCGGGCCGACCUCAC